UGCCUACGGGAGGCAGCAGUGGGGAAUCUUGCACAAUGGGCGAAAGCCUGAUGCAGCGACGCCGCGUGCGGGAUGAAGGCCUUCGGGUUGUAAACCGCUUUCAGCAGGGAUGAGGCCGCAAGGUGACAGUACCUGCAGAAGAAGCCCCGGCUAACUACGUGCCAGCAGCCGCGGUAAUACGUAGGGGGCAAGCGUUAUCCGGAUUCAUUGGGCGUAAAGCGCGCGUAGGCGGUCUGUUAGGUCGGAAGUCAAAUCCGGGGGCUCAACCUCCGUUCGCUUCCGAUACCGGCAGACUUGAGUUUGGG
rnacentral:rRNA from 1 species